rnacentral:lncRNA from 1 species
AGAGGGGGAAGGUCUGGAGGUUGGAAAGAGGACUGGAAUCUGAUUGGGGUUCCAACAAAUCUGUAACACCGCUGGGAACGACUGGGUCCCCUUUAGGUCCUUUAGGACAGCGUUUGAAAUCUUGCUUUCCCCUGCAGGGAUCCAGCACCGGCUCCUCCUCCGGCAACCACGGUGGGAGCGGCGGAGGAAAUGGACAUAAACCCGGGAAUUUUAAAUCCAAGCUGGGUUUCAUCAACUGGGAUGCCAUAAACAAGAACCAGGUCCCGCCCCCCAGCACCCGAGCCCUCCUCUACUUCAGCCGACUCUGGGAGGAUUUCAAACAGAACACUCCUUUCCUCAACUGGAAAGCAAUUAUUGAGGGUGCGGACGCGUCAUCACUGCAGAAACGUGCAGGCAGAGACG